rnacentral:rRNA from 1 species
UACGUAGGCAGCGAGCGUUGUUCGGAGUUACUGGGCGUAAAGGGUGUGUAGGCGGCCUAUUAAGUUUGGUGUGAAAUCUCCCGGCUCAACCGGGAGGGUGCGCCGAAAACUGGGAGGCUAGAGUGCGGGAUGGGAGAGUGGAAUUCCUGGUGUAGCGGUGAAAUGCGCAGAUAUCAGGAAGAACACCAAUGGCGAAAGCAGCUUUCUGGGACGGUACUGACGCUGAGACGCGAAAGCGUGGGGAGCGAACAGG